UGCAGUCGACGAAGUUUUUCUUUCGGGAGGAACUUAGUGGCGGACGGGUGAGUAACGCGUGGGUAACCUGCCCUGUACAGGGGGACAACAGCUGGAAACGGCUGCUAAUACCGCAUAAGCCCUUAGCACUGCAUGGUGCAUAGGGAAAAGGAGCAAUCCGGUACAGGAUGGACCCGCGUCUGAUUAGCCAGUUGGCAGGGUAACGGCCUACCAAAGCGACGAUCAGUAGCCGAUCUGAGAGGAUGUACGGCCACAUUGGGACUGAGACACGGCCCAGACUCCUACGGGAGGCAGCAGUGGGGAAUAUUGCACAAUGGAGGAAACUCUGAUGCAGCGACGCCGCGUGAGUGAAGAAGUAUUUCGGUAUGUAAAGCUCUAUCAGCAGGGAAGAAAAUGACGGUACCUGACUAAGAAGCACCGGCUAAAUACGUGCCAGCAGCCGCGGUAAUACGUAUGGUGCAAGCGUUAUCCGGAUUUACUGGGUGUAAAGGGAGCGUAGGUGGCAAGGCAAGCCAGAAGUGAAAACCCGGGGCUCAACCGCGGGAUUGCUUUUGGAACUGUCAUGCUAGAGUGCAGGAGGGGUGAGCGGAAUUCCUAGUGUAGCGGUGAAAUGCGUAGAUAUUAGAGGAACACCGGAGGCGAAGGCGGCUCACUGGACUGUAACUGACACUGAGGCUCGAAAGCGUGGGGAGCAAACAGGAUUAGAUACCCUGGGUAGUCCACG
rnacentral:rRNA from 1 species